rnacentral:rRNA from 1 species
GCGAAGACGUGGUGCGUGGCCAAGCCAUCGACGGGCGAGGCGGCGCUGAGGGCCAACCUGGAGUUCGCCUGCUCCCAGAGCGACUGCAGCGCGAUCCAGGGCACGGGGGGCUGCUCCGCGCUGAACGGCGGCGUGCUGCUGUCGCGGGCGUCCGUGGCCAUGAACGCCUACUACCAGGCCAGGGGGAGGAACUCGUGGAACUGCUUCUUCAACGCCACCGGCAUCAUCAGCAUCACCGACCCCAGUCUAGGCACUUGCAAGUAUGCAUGA